rnacentral:rRNA from 1 species
GAUGAACGCUGGCGGCGUGCCUAAUACAUGCAAGUCGAGCGAACAGACGAGGAGCUUGCUCCUCUGACGUUAGCGGCGGACGGGUGAGUAACACGUGGAUAACCUACCUAUCAGACUGGGAUAACUUCGGGAAACCGGAGCUAAUACCAGAUAACAUGUUGAACCGCAUGGUUCAACAGUGAAAGACGGUCUUGCUGUCCCUUAUAGAUUGAUCCGCGCCGCAUUAGCGAGUUGGUAAGGUAACUGCUUACCAAGGCAACGAUGCGUAGCCGACCUGAGAGGGUGAUCGGCCACACUGGAACUGAGACAUGGUCCAGACUCCUACGGGAGGCAGCAGUAGGGAAUCUUCCGCAAUGGGCGAAAGCCUGACGGAGCAACGCCGCGUGAGUGAUGAAGGUCUUCGGAUCGUAAAACUCUGUUAUUAGGGAAGAACAAAUGUGUAAGUAACUAUGCACGUCUUGACGGUACCUAAUCAGAAAGCCACGGCUAACUACGUGCCAGCCGCCGCCGUAA